rnacentral:rRNA from 1 species
AUUGAACGCUAGCGGCAUGCCUAACACAUGCAAGUCGAACGAGUGGCGGACGGGUGAGUAAUAUCUCGGAAACUGCCCAAUGGCGGGGGAUAACUACUGGAAACGGUAGCUAAUACCGCAUACCAUCGGAUGUGCCCAGAUUGGAUUAGCUAGUUGGUGGGGUAACGGCUCACCUAGGCGACGAUCCCGAGCUGGUGUGAGAGGAUGACCAGCCACACUGGGACUGAGACACGGUCCAGACUCCUACGGGAGGCAGCAGUGGGGAAUUUUUCACAAUGGGCGCAAGCCUGAUGCAGCCAUGCCGCGUGUAUGAAGAAGGCCUUCGGGUUGUAAAGUACUUUAGGCGGGGAGGCGGUACCUGCAGAAGAAGCACCGGCUAACUCCGUGCCAGCAGCCGCGGUAAUAC